AAAGUUUGACAGACAAUCGCUGGUGGCCUAAAGCCACGAGAGGAAAGUCCGGGCUCCGUAGGGCAGGAUGCUGGAUAACGUCCAGUCAGCGCAAGCUGAAGGCUAGUGCCACAGAAAUGGACCGCCGAUGGCAGCGGGGCGACCCGUAUGCACAGGUAAGGGUGGAACCGUGGUGUAAGAGACCACGAGGAGCUAUGGUGACAUCGCUCCUGGUAAACCCCAUUUGGAGCAAGACCUAGAGGAACGCAGUCCCGCAAGGGGCAGCCUUUGCCCGAGGCGCGUUCGGGUUGGUCGCUUGAGCCAGGCAGCAAUGUUUGGCCUAGAUAGAUGAUUGUCGCUUCAACGGUGGCAGGGUGGCACCCGAUACGACCACCGGAAGCACAGAACCCGGCUUACGGCAAACUUUCUUU
rnacentral:RNase_P_RNA from 3 species